rnacentral:rRNA from 1 species
GGUAGCUAAGUUCGGAACGGAUAAGCGCUGAAUGCAUAUAAGCGCGAAGCCUUCUUCAAGACGAGUCAUCCCCAUGAGCCCCCUGAGAGACUAUCAGGUGAUAGGCCGGCGGUGGAAGCACAGCGAUGUGUUAUGAGCCAACCGGUACUAAUUGGGCCACAGGCUUAACCAC